GCUGACCAUUGUAGAAUUGACAACUCUCUGCUGAACAUUGAAACAAAACACAGCAUUGAGAGAAGAUAGAAAGAAUCUGAUCUAGAUUUCCAGUCUACCCUUAAAGAUGUUGACCGUGACCUCAGAGGCCAACUUAUAUGCAAGGCUAGAACUGAAUCAAGGGAGAGAGCAGAGUUCCUCCAUCUGAAAAGAAAAUAUCCAGAUGGGCAGGGCAUUGCCAUUAGACUGUCCAAGCAGGUAGCCAACUCCAACAAGAGACUGAGACAAGCAAUCAAGGAAUACAACAGUAUUCAGUGGCCACCGCAGAUGAGCAUCUUCCCUGCAAUUAUUGAUUUUCAGGAAGCAUGCGAUACCUCUUGGCUUGUCUACCUCUGCUCUGAUGACACUAUUGAAGAAGAUGAUGUUUCAAGGUGUCUGAAAAGGCGUGGAAUUGAUGCCUUAUAUAUGAGGACACGGGCAGCUGAGGAAAAGCACAUGCUUUACCAGGAAAUGAGAACUGUAACUGAACACCUCAAUCAGCAACAUCUCUGCCAUCAAUGAAACAGAGCAGCCUGGUGCAAAAGCUGCACUCAUUCAAC
ensembl:lncRNA